GUGAGGGUGUGAGGGUGAGGGUGGAAAUAUUAGGUGCUGGGGCGUGUGCCGGGGGAGAGUAUCUGGGGACCCGACUGCGAGUCACGUGCGCGUGAAACUCGACCUAGGGGGAGGGGAAGAAAAGGGAGCCCCCGCCCCUACCUCAGGGCGCAGCCCGGGACGAGUGUAAAUACAACGCUUAACUCAGUGGAUCCACUUGGUCUAUGCCCCACCUCAAGAAUCCCGGGUGCCCGGCGGGUUCCCAGCCCCCCGACUUCACCCGAGGGGACUGAGGAGGCAAGGACACCGGACAGCGGCGCUGAGUCCCCGAGGCGGCCCGGCCCCGGCGCGCAGAGAAGUCCGAGCGCCCGUGCGGUUCGGAGCUGGGCCCGCGGGACAGUGGACGCCGAGUGUGGACGCGCCCUAAAGGCGCUGCGCUCCCCGAGGCGUAGCGUCCGCGGCUGCAGGAGGCGCGUUUGCCCCCAGACCAGAGUUUGGAGCAACAGUCCUGUCGGAGUUUGAACGGACCCGCGGGCGCGCGGGAACCCAGAGCCCCAUUUCACAGAUGAGGGUACUGAGGCCCGGGGAGCCGCAUCUGGUGUCCUCCGCCCCUCCCUCUUGCCCUUCCCCCCCUUCCCCUUCCCCGUCCCUCUCCUCUCGGCGGUGUCCGUCUCCCCCCUGCCGCUCCCCGCCUCCGCGCCGCCCGUGUCCCGUCUCCUCCCACGGUGGUGGCGGCGGCCGCGGCGGGGGGAGCUGGGGCUCCUUCCCUCCCUCUGGUAAACACACCCGCCCGCCGCCGGCCGCUGGCCCAUCCGCCACCACUGUCCUUAUAAAGUCAGCGGCCGCGAAGCUUCCUGGCGGAGCGCGAGCCCCCUUCCCCGGCCCGAGAGCGCGGGCUGGCGCGGAUGCGUGCCGCGUGGUGGUCCGCGCCCCGCCGAGUGAGUGAGGGGCGCCCCGACCCGCCCUAGGUCCCCAUCCACGUGGCAGCUGUUGUCCAGGACCGAGAGACUCCAGAGACACGGGUCGCCCGUGUCCCGGCGGGAGCCCGGCGCCGCGUGAACCGCUGGCACUGCUGGUGCGCCCAGAGCCAGGCUCGCGGCCAGCAUGGCCCCCACGCUGCAGCAGGCGUACCGGAGGCGCUGGUGGAUGGCCUGCACCGCGGUGCUGGAGAACCUCUUCUUCUCGGCUGUGCUCCUGGGCUGGGGCUCCCUGCUGAUCAUGCUCAAGCAGGAGGGCUUCUAUUCCAUCGUGUGCUCAGCUGAGAACACCACCAACAUCACCCAGGAUGAGCAGUACAAGUGGCUGAGCUGUGACGGCCAGGAAGAGAUGCUCAACCUGGGCUUCACCAUCGGCUCCUUCGUGCUCAGUGCCACCACCCUGCCACUGGGGAUCCUCAUGGACCGCUUUGGCCCCCGGCCCACGCGGCUGGUCGGCAGCGCCAGCUUCGCUGCAUCCUGCGCCCUCAUGGCCCUGGCCUCUCGGGACACCAGAGUUCUGUCUCCGUUGAUAUUCCUGGCGCUGUCCCUGAAUGGCUUUGGUGGCAUCUGCCUAACGUUCUCUUCACUCACGCUGCCCAACAUGUUCGGGAGCCUGCGGUCCACGUUCAUGGCCCUCAUGAUCGGCUCCUACGCCUCUUCUGCCAUCACGUUCCCGGGAGUCAAGCUGAUCUACGACGCCGGAGUAUCCUUCGUGGUCAUCAUGUUCACCUGGUCAGGCCUGGCCUGUCUCAUCUUUCUGAACUGUGCCCUCAACUGGCCCGGCGAAGCCUUUCCGGCUCCUGAAGAAGUCAACUACACGAAGAAGAUCAAGCUCAGAGGGUUGGCCCUAGAUCACAAGGUGACAGGUGACCGCUUCUACACCCAUGUGACCAUCGUGGGCCAGCGUCUGAGCCAGAAGGCCCCCAGCCUGGAGGAGGGGGCUGACGUCUUCAUCUCAUCCCAGGAUGUUCGUGGCGCUUCAGAAAGCCCUCCUGAGAAGUCCGUCCCCUUCCGCCAGAGCCUCUGCUCCCCCAUUUUCCUGUGGAGCCUCCUCACCAUGGGCAUGACCCAGUUGCGGGUCAUCUUCUACAUGGCCGCCAUGAACAAGAUGCUGGAGUACCUCGUGACUGGGGGCCAGGAGCAUGAGACGGACGUCCUGAGAAAAAGGGCGGCAGAGACAGUGGGGUUCUACUCCUCCAUCUUUGGGGCCAUGCAGCUGUUGUGCCUCCUCACCUGCCCGCUCAUCGGCUACAUCAUGGACUGGCGGAUCAAGGACUGUGUGGACGCCCCCAGUGAUGGCACUGCCCUCGGAGACGCCAGGGAUGGGGUUGCCACCAAGUCUGCCAGACCCCGCUACCGCAAGAUCCAGAAGCUCACCAAUGCCAUCAAUGCCUUCACCCUGACCAACUUUCUGCUGGUGGGGUUUGGCAUCACCUGCCUCAUCAAUAGCUUACACCUCCAGUUUGUGACCUUCGUCCUGCACACCAUGGUUCGAGGUUUCUACCACUCAGCCUGUGGCAGCCUCUAUGCAGCAGUGUUCCCCUCCAACCACUUCGGGACGCUGACGGGCCUGCAGUCCCUCAUCAGUGCUGUGUUCGCCCUGCUCCAGCAGCCGCUUUUCAUGGCCAUGGUGGGACCCUUGAAAGGAGAGCCCUUCUGGGUCUCUAAUCGGGGGCUUCCCAAGCUGGCUACCCAUCACAACCCCUCACAGAGUGAAAAAUAGAUUCCCCAGCCUGCCGACUCAGCGCCUCUUGCUCCGGGCCCAGGAGUGUCUCUGGAAGAAGCUCCAGGCGCCUGGUGAAGUGGCCCAGUUCUGAUGCCAUCUGGUUUCACCCAGGGCACAGAUGCUCUCUCUCUCUCUUAGCACCUCUGGAAAGGGGAGCCUCCAAACCCUCUCAGCUCAAACACCCUCAAGACGGGGCAGCAGCCUUUGGUAUGGUUAGAAGGGUUUUUCCUUCCACCGACCACACGUCUGCCUCCCCAAACCUGGUCCUCUCUCUGCCCUGUGGGGCCACCUGUCCCGUAACCCUUCUCCCAGCAGAACAAUCAAGAAAGGACAGUCACGGUUUGUGGGGUGCUCACGACGUGCUGAGGUCAUCUUUGCCCUGACGAGGCACUUAGAGUCAAGGCGAUUUGCCCAAGUCACACAGCGCGAGUCAUGCAGAGCGGGAUGUGAGCCGAGGCCACGCCCGUGUGAGGGCCACUGUCCUGGGCCUUCCGCCCCCCGGCUGCAUGCCUGGGCUCCUUUCACCACUUGCCAACCUCUUCUCACCAACCUCAGUGGGAUCAGGGGGCUCCUGUCGUCAAUGUCCCCAGCCCAAAAGGUUGCAUUUCAGAAGGUGCCCUGGAUUGGGCACCAGCCCAGACUUCCCCAGUAUCUCCCCAGAGGGCACCAGCUCGUGUGGGCACCGGCCUUAGGGUUCAGACCGCACUCUGAUACUUUAUGAGGCUGUUGAACAUUAGGUGAAUCUGGGCCUCCUGCUCCUCUCACUCCUGGGCUUCCUGCUACCUUCCUACCUCUUCUACCACCGUGCCCGACUCCAGAGGGAGUAUGCCACCUACUGGGAAGGCCCAAAGAAGGUGCUUGGCGGCUCUGAGGUG